AUACAGAGGGUGCGAGCGUUAAUCGGAAUUACUGGGCGUAAAGCGCGCGUAGGCGGCUGAUUAAGUCAGAUGUGAAAUCCCAGGGCUCAACCUUGGAACUGCAUCUGAUACUAGUCAGCUAGAGUUUAGGAGAGGGAAGUAGAAUUUCAGGUGUAGCGGUGAAAUGCAUAGAUAUCUGAAGGAAUACCAGUGGCGAAGGCGGCUUCCUGGCCUAAAACUGACGCUGAGGUGCGAAAGCGUGGGUAGCAAACGGGAUUAGAAACCCCAGUAGUCC
rnacentral:rRNA from 1 species